UGUUUUAAUUUUCAUUUAGGUAAACAGCAGCCCGUUUGAUUGCAGAAACUGCCGGUCGAGUUACGUCUCCCUUCUUUCCCUUUCUUAAAAUGUCCUUGUGUAUGCCCAUGUGAAUGUGGGUGUAUUCACAAAGGACACCCUUUUUUCCUACCCUUUUUCAGCAGAUGGAUGAAUCACUUUAUGGAUGGAUGUUGGCCGGAUAUUCCAGGCUAAAAGGACGGUCAUCAUUACGAUAGGACUCUUGACACCGAGUGAUUGGACCAAAGUUGGUGUGCAGCAUGGGAGAACUGUGUAUAUAGGCCAAACAUCCCCUACGAUACAAUACCUACAACAACAACAACAACAACAAAAGCAAAAAGAGAGAAGGGUCAUCUACCGACAUGUGAUGGAUGACAUUAUCACGCUCAGAAGCGCAAGACUCACGCUCGCACGUACGACCUUCCGUCUCGUCCGCCUUUUCACCCUUGAUGGAUGGCUGGAUGGCACCCUGGAGAAGAGCAAAACGUCCAUGGACGAGUGAAAAGGAUUCCGAAAAGGCCACAACGAAUCGCGAUUUCGACAAAGUCUAGAUUGAUUUUCACCCAAUAGAGAGAGAAAAUAAAAAUGGUCUAUUUGCAUGGCUGUUUCAGCAUCCGCUUUGAAAUGGAAUACUGUCGGUCACAAGACGAUUUGCUCGGCGAUUUCGCAUCAAACAAAAAUAUCAUACGUCACUAAGUAGUCUACUCUGCUAGAACAACGUAUUCUCUUACUAAAAAUAAUCAGUGAAUGGUUUCUAUUGAGCUAUUAAUUAAUCUAAUUUUCAGUUUUUACUUAAUGGUUGGGUCCUCGCUUUCACUGUUUGAACGAAAAAAGGUCGUCCUUUAACUCCUUUUCCCAUUGUUAUUUCCGAAAGCUCUAAAAUACGACGACCAGAAACAAUUAAUUGAUUUAAAAAGCAGUUAUUUCUUCCUUCGUCCUUCCUUCUUACAAAACUCCUGUGAUCGAAUGAACAGCGCUAGAAGCCAAGCAGAGACUAAAAAAGCAGCUAGAGCUGAACCAGGUAAAACCCACAAGGCUCUAAGGCCACAGGGGCCGUCUCAGCUGGACCGCCUGAGGACCGCCUUUUCUCCGGAAAUUUAUGGAAUUGACCGUGCAAAGGCGUGCAAUGAUGCUAUCUCGUGUCACUUUGCAAUAUUCGAAUUUGGUGACGUUCGUGAAUUUUUAUCGACAGCCGUUCCUUUCGUCCCUUUACAGUAGGUUACUAAUAUUUUCUAAAUUAUCCGUUAUCUGUUUGUUUUUUUCAGAACUGAGCUGUAGUUUAGAGACUAAAUCUUUAGAUAGAAAUUUCAAAUAAUGAAUAAAUUUCUGAUUCACGAAUUUUUUAAAAAUUGAAUUUUCCUAAAGAAAUUUGUUUGGCACUACAGUACAGUCAUCAAACGAGGUAAUCGUGUAGGAAUCUUUUGGCUCCGUCAGUAGGUGGCUAAAAUCAAGUUGUCCCCCAGCCGCCAGAUGUCGCGAGUGUGUUUGAGAAAGGACGAAACUUUCGCCAUUUUGUUCCGAAACGCCAAGUGAAAAGGUAUUCCAAAUUCGUUACGGAAUUGCGGUGUCGAUCUACAUUUUGAAAUUUAAUGGCAAUCUGGCAUAUAAUUUCCACUUGGCCAAAUAAUCGAUCACGUGAACUGGAACUGCUUUCCAUUUUGCCAAAACGUCGUCCUUUGUUAGCUGUACGGAAGUACGUCUCAUCUCACGCAGAAUCACUACAGAGUUGGUAUUCAGGUUGGAAAUCCCGUUGCUUAACUGUUGCAGAAUGGCUGAACCCGACAACAGCUGAGUUCCAUGGCUGGAUCAUUGCAGUGGUUUUGUUGCAGCCAGCUGGUGAAAGGUGUGAUCGAGUCAAGUUGAGCUGCAGCUGCUGCAUGCAGUUUAUCGAGCUGGUGUUAUCCUGAAGGGUCAUUGCAGGAAGAAUUUUUGAAAUGGACUUGGUGAUACUUAAACUAUGCCUGUGCUGUUCUAUGUCCAGUGGUUUUGCAGCCUGUUUCCAGUUGAGAGAUGUGGUAAUGCAGCUGAUACAGGAUUAAAGAAAAAGAACUGAAGUACCUGUGCUGGUGUUCACCUGAAAUUGCUGUGCCACAAGAGUUGCAGAUAGUGUUUGGUUCCUCAUAGAAGUCGAUAGAAGUUUAUUUAAAGAGUCUGGAGAUGAUCAGCCACUUCUGCCUUUAACUUAUGUAAAACUUCAAAGUUGUAAGAAAUAUACAAGUCAAGUGCUAAA
rnacentral:lncRNA from 1 species